GAACCUUAGUGUAUUUAACCUCUACUGACACAAUCUUACAUCACUGAUUUAAAAAGAAUUCAGCAUCAUGGAAAUGAAUUAUGAAUGCUGUUUCCAAAACACAGCUCCAUCCUGCUGAUCAAUCCCCAAGACAAAGACUUUCAAUGCCUUAUUAAUUUUUCCUCGCUAAUUCAAUACUGCAAGAUUGUCAUGAUAAUUAGUUGUCUGAGCAAGGUUGUCAUGAUAAUUAGUUGCCUGAGCAGGCUAUGUACCUUCUUAUCACCAAUGGUUUAUGGCAAUACAGAAAAACUAAUAAUAUUUCACUCAACCAUGACUGAUACUAUUACUUGCCCCAGGCAAGUCUUUAAAGUCUUUAAUAGAUUAAAUUCAGAUUAUGCUUAACCAGAGAUGCACAAAAGAAAAUUUCUUAAUUAUGAAAUGCUGCAGGAAGACAAUUUAAGGCUUCAUGUAUUAUAUAUUUAUUGUCCUUCAUUUGUAUUUGGAGGAAGUAAGAACAUAUUUUUCUGUGAUAAGCACUUGAAAAUAGGAAGAUAAAUUAAUAAGUUAUGAAUGUAGCUAGUUACCUACUUAGGCAAAGUUUCUCAGCAAAACGUGUUACAAGAAAUCGUUUAGCUGCUUGUGCUUAAAAUUUGGCCCAUAAGAACUCAUAACUGCACUAAGAUAUGGCAAGCUACUUGACUCGUGCAAUUGACUCAUUUUUCUUCUGUAAAAUGACAAGAUCUGGUUUUCAAUGCAUAGCAGUGCUACUCUGUCUCUGACACUGGCACAUCACCUUGUGAUGAUGCAGCACAAAGAACCUGUCAACCUAUAUGCAUCACUGAAUUAGGGGCUGUUAUAGUGUAAUUCAUCACAGACACUGGAUGUUACCUGCUGACACACAGCAGCAGCCAAAUUUCCUCCUGCGCUGUCGCCAGAAAUUGCAAUUCGAUUUGGGUCAACUGAAUAGUCAGCUAAGACACCAGGCUGCAAAAAAUGCUUUGUAGCACGAAGAGCAUCGUGGAAUUGCUCAGGAAAGCACACCUCUGGUACCAGCCUGUAUCUACAAAAGAAGAAGGGAGAUGAAUCUAUGUAUGCUUCACAAUGCAUCAGGGUUGUGAGGCCUUCAUGUUGUCCCAGAAGCAAUGGGGAAGGACAAAGACUCCUACCUGUUCUUGAUCUUUGCCUCGGAGCAGCUGUGAGAACUGCAGGCCCCUAUUUUUUCCAAGGCUUUUCUCCUGCUUCGAGAUGUGGAAGGAUCUGUGCUUAGCUUAUUGUUGCCUACAGCUAUACCUUACUACAAUUAACUUGGAAGUCACAAACAUCAGAGAAAGUCGGUGCUGUAAAUUUUCAAGUUCACAUCCUGAUAAGAUAUAUAUUUUUCCAGUGCACCCAUUGUAUAUUUUUAUCAUGAUUCCUUACAUCUGCUGUGCCAGAAUGCAGAUGGUGACUACUGAAUUCAGCUGUAUUAGAACAAAACCCUGGCAACAAAAGACGUUCCUGCUGCUGAAUGACACCUCCGAAAGGGACAAACCUGACUGACCAGCAGAUUCCACUUUUCUACUUGCAAAGCUUCUCAGACCGGUGCCAGUAGAGGGCAAUACCACACAGUCAACAUUUUUUGUGGUGGUGAGGUAGGAAAUAUGCAAACUAUUUCUCUUAUUCCACCCCAAAGCGUAAGUCUUUCCAUUUCCAAAUUAAGUUCUCAGUGAUUGCAAAGGCAUCUGCAAACAGGAACAGUCUCAAAUGAAUGCAGUGCUUAUUUACUGGCUCACCCUGUAUUUGCCCACUGAAUUGGAAAAGAUGUGAAAUGCUAUUGAAGACUUGUGGCAGAUUUGUGAUUUCUUCCCCAGAGACUCAAGCGUGUUACUUCUUCUGUGUGGGUGUGUAAAACGUUAAGAAAAUAAAGAAAGAUCUCAACUUUCUGUCCCAUUCCGGUAGAAGGAUGGAUUUUAUCCCUUCUGAAAAUCCAGGAUUUUCUUUUCCACUUUCCCCUAAACAAACCUGUUUCUCUAAGCAGAUAAUCCUGGGAUCUAAGGCACUCCUUCAGCCUAAAUGCUCAUGACCUGCUCCCCAUGUACAGCUUGUCAACCCAUAACCACUUCAACUGUUUCAAUUCUGCUGUUAUCACCAGUACAGUGCAAGCCUGCUAGUAUGAAUUAAACGAGUUCAGUACCAGGAGAGGGAGAGAAUGGUCAUUCAGGUACCAGUCUAACAGCAUUAAUACUGCAAACAACACACAGUUGCUGUAGCAUAACCUGUACAAAAACUACGUGGAAGCCAAGUGAGUUUCUGUGCGAUAAAUGUGAUUUUCCAAGUGAGAGUUUUACAGUCUCUUUCUGACUUACACGUUCACAAGGAGAGAGAUUUCAUUUUCUUUCUUUGGCUUUCUUUACUGUCCUUCUGCACUACCAUUUUCCAGUUACUUUCAGUGCAGUAUCUCUGUUAGGGAAUUCUUCUCAAAGAGAAGAGACAGCUAACAGAGGAACACCACUGCUGUCAACACAUCCUCCAGAGGAAAAGCAAAUUUUGAAGCACCUCCUAUCAACUGAGAGACUUCAUCCAUUCAGCAAUAUUUAUGCCAAAAAGGAUCUGCUCCCUUCGUGGAGUGCUCUGCAGCCACUGUCCUUACACACGGCUUUUAAAUCCACUAUGGUUAGUUUAAAUGUAAACAAACAAACGCCUAUGACUCAGCUUUCAGUAGAUGCUGUGUGAAAAAGACCCUGAGGCAGCCCCGGUUCUACUGCAGAUUCCUGUGGAAAGCAACAGACUGAGAUUUUUCCCAAAAGGGUCUCUGACUGCCAAGUCCAAUGGAGUGGUAACGUGAGUAAUGUGGUGUAAUGCAAGUGGAGAGAGAGAAACCCAUUUCCAAAACAAAAAUUUACAGAAGUUACUUUCUUUUCCUGCUUGGAUUGGUUACCCUGCUGAAAUAGUUUGGUGAGAAACCAAAUCUUGGUAUGUUUGCUGCUUUGUUGAUGGAUUAUCAUUUCUGCAUACUUAAGGUCUUUCCUCUGGGAGUAAAAAAAAAAACAAGCAUCCACCCAGUGGGCAGAAAUGUUGGAUUCACAAGACUAUAUUUUUGAAUGUCAGAUCAUGCUUUUCCCACACUGUUACUUAAAAAUUUCCAUAGGAAAACACCAUUCAAGCUUCAAACUUGAAGAGCAAUACACCUAUUAAUAAGUUGCCAUUCAAUUUAUUGGGCUGCCACUGAUUCACCCAGCAAAAUGAUCUUCUGCGUGCCCCAUAGAGGUUCCCAGGGGAGGUAACUAAUGGGAAAUACUGCCAGGCAAAAAAAAUAAUUCUUGUAGAUUUUUUUCAGACCAACUGUGCUGCUAAAGGCUAUUUAUCCACAUUCUUUGUAGACAGGAUUACCACAUGUUCCCUGGAAUCAGAGAUGUUUUCUUUUCAAGGUUAGUUGCAGCUGUUUACUGAGAAGUGUUUUGCCCUGGUUUUAUUAAACCACAGAACAUCAUGGCCCUCUGCAGGUUUAUCAGUUGCUUUCAUGCCUUUUUCCUGCAAUAGGCCACUCUUUCCACGAACCAAAAAUAAAAUUGAAUAACAUGGAAGAGAUGCCUCGUACACCAAGGCACAAGAGGAACAGUAAUAGUUCUUUUACGUUUACCUUGUCAGGUUUCUCUGCCCAGGACUUAUAAGCACAUUCUUUGGAAAUGUAUCUCAUCAGUCAAUUUGGUUGUUAUUUACAACAGUCAGGAUUGUGCUUUUUGCUGGCAAAGAGCUAGCCUUGUCCAGAGUUCCUACAAACAAAAUUCUUAUGUAAGACAUAUCCAUAGUACCUUGUGUGUAUAUGUUUGUAUUUAAUGGUUGGCUGAAUCUCAUCUAGGACUGUGUUGCAGCCACAGAGUCAUAGAAUCACAGAAUAUCCUGAGUUGGAAGAGACCCAUAAGGAUCACUGACUCCAACUCCUGGCUCCAGACAGGAUCACCUCAAAUUCUAACCACAUAAACACUUUCAUUUUCUAAACAGGUAACCUGAAGAAAUGUGGCUGGUAAACUUCAUGAGGAUGACUAAUGGAGCUGAACUUCAUCAGGAUGACUAACAGAGCUGAUGCACCCAGUGAGCUUAGCUGCUGUGGAGCAGGACAGCAUGGGCAGGAGGAAGAGCAGGGCAAAUGACUUGCAGUGUAUCUGUUCCUACUCAUAUGCAACAUCUAAGACCACAGUGGAUUACUGUAAAUCAAUUUGCAAGACUGUGUCCUUACAUGCAAAAAUAUCAGCUUACUUGGAUGGCCUCAGCUAUGAUUUACAUCUCUCCAUAUAUGGAGAUGGAGGCAGAUGUGGGCACCUCAGUGCUGCCAGUUUGCUCCAGCUGCCACCAGGGCAGGUUGUAUUCUGCCAGCUCCCCUGGGAGGAAGACCUCUGGGAUACCCCAGAAGGGAUGGGAUUGCCUUUGGCCUCCAACCUAGAGACAUUGAGACUCAUUCAGCUAUGCCUUGCAAACCACAAGCAAACAGCAUGUGUACGUAUGCCAACAGCAGUAUACAUAUAUAGAGUUAGUCAUAUGAUUUUCUAAAGAUAGGUCUCCUUCAGCUAGAGGUUAUGGACUUGAUUCAGGUGUUCCUGGAAGAAAGGUUACCACGUAUUCUGCAGGCAGGAUGCUGUGACCAUCGCAGCCCUUCCAUUUAUUAAACUUCCAGCUCCACUGUAAAGGAAUGUGUUGUUAUUUUAGUUACCAGCACAAAGCAAGUGCAUGUCAAGCCACAGCUUUUUAAAGGAAAACAUGCUUUUGUAGGCUAUGUCUACACGAUUUACCUGUCAUAGCAGUAUCAUUUCUUUAAGGGAGAGUAUAUAAGCAAAAAGCUUUAUUCUUUCACAUCCCACUGGCUCAGCUGAGUGGCCUAUUGAAAAUCAAAUAAUCAUCUGAGUUGGAAAGGACCUUUAAAGGUCAUCUAGUCCAACAACCCUGUGAUGAACAGGGACAUCUAAAGUUCGAUUCUACAUCUAGUCCCAACUCUGACUGCAAAAGUGGCAGCCAGAGAGGCUAUUCAGGGAGAGUAUGCAAGCCUGGACACUGUCAUCC